AGAGUUUGAUCCUGGCUCAGGACGAACGCUGGCGGCGUGCCUAAUACAUGCAAGUCAACCGAACUUAAAGUAGUAAUAUUUUGAGGGAAGUGGCGCACGGGUGAGUAACGCGUAGGUAAUCUGCCUUUAGGACUGACAUAAUUCCGCGAAAGCGGGACUAAUAUCAGAUAAUGCAGCGGCUCGACAUCGAGACAGUUGUUAAAUUCCUCGGAAGCCUAAAGAUGAGCCUGCGUCCCAUUAGGUAGUUGGCAGGGUAAAAGCCUACCAAGCUUACGAUGGGUAGCUGGUCUGAGGAGGAUGAUCAGCCACACUGGAACUGAGAUACGGUCCAGACUCCUACGGGGAGGGCGCAGUAAGGGAUAUUGCUCAAUGGCCGGAAAGGCUUGAAACAGCAACGCCGCGUGGAGGAUGAAAUAUUUUUAUAUGGAAACUCCUGGAAGAAGGGGAAAAUAAUCCGAUUAUUCUGGGUUGAUUGUACCUUCAAAGUAAGCCCCCGGCUAAAGUACGUGGCAGCCUUCCGGGGUAAUACAUAGGGGGGUUAGAAUUGUCCCGAUUUACUGGGUGGAAAGGGGGCUCAGGGGGACCUGUGAAUUAGAAGUUGAAAUACCGGAACUUAAAUCUUCACGUCACUCGGCCACUAGGAAUUGCUUACGCUUUGAACCUGGGAGACGGUCAUGGGAAUAUCUCGCUGCUAGCAAGUGAUAUGCCGGUCAGAUGUCCAGAUAGCACACCACAGAAUGCGAGCUAAAGCAGUUAUGUGUGCUCCACAACCUGGCUGCUUAUAGAAGCGGCAAGAUGUGGAGGCAGCAACCAGGAUUAAGUACACCCGGUGGUAGUCACCACCUCACACCGAUGAGUACUAGACUGUCGGCGCUUUUCUCAAGGUACAGUAUCCCAAGUUAACCAGCCAUUAAGAUUAUCCACCUGGGAGCUCGAGUUGCUAAGCGUCGAUAAUUUCAAAGUGAAAUGACGGGGGCCCCCCCCAACCCAGUGGACCAUGCGUUUUAUUCGGACGAACCGGGAAGACCCUUACUUAGGCUGGAAAGCAAAAUUAAUCCUGGUGGAAGGUCGGGUUCCCGUAAGUGAGUUGGUCCAGUUGCUGCAUGCCUUUCCCCCACCUCCCUCCCGUGAGGUGUUGGGUUAAGUCCCGCCAACCAGCGCAACCCUUCGGUUUUUAGUUGCCAUCACGUAAAGCUGAGCACUUUUAAGAAGACCCCCUACGCAAGUAGUGAGGAAGGUGGGGAUGACGUCAAGUCCCCAUGGCCCUUACGCCUAGGGCCACACACGUGCUACAAUGGCCAUUACAAAGGGCUGCAAUACCGCGAGGUGGAGCUAAUCCCUAAAAAAUGGUCUCAGUUCGGAUUGGAGUCUGCAACUCGACUCCAUGAAGCUGGAAUUGCUAGUAAUCGCGCAUCAGCACGGCGCGGUGAAUACGUUCCCGGGCCUUGUACACACCGCCCGUCAAGCCAUGGAAGUUGGGGGUACCCAAAGUCGCCUUUAAUAAGCGCCUAAGGUAAAACCAAUGACUGGGGUUAAGUCGUAACAAGGUAACC
rnacentral:rRNA from 1 species